UAACCCAACUGCUGAUGGAUGAUGUAACCUUUUUAAAAACCUGGUUCUUGUAAUCUAAUGGUUUGUUUUACUGCUACUCUCUACUCGUGCAAAAAACAUGACCAACCAUUUGAUUCUGCUGACAAUAAUUUCAUUUUCCUUUCCCUCUGUCAGGCACCGUGUGAGAAUUUACAAAAUGAUUUAGAAAUGCCAAGAAGAAGAGAUAGAACAUAUCAAAAUAUCGCUGGUAUGAAAAAUACAAUCUUCAAGAAAUGGGAACGAAAGGUUGAAGUCUUCUGGAAGAUGGGAGGAGAAAGAACAUGUUACUUCUUCCAACCAUAUCCUAGCUGUGAAAAUGGAUAUUACGAUGGCAUCUGAAGAGGUUGUCGGCAGCCGUCCUAACGGAGAAGCGGAUCAAGAGGCUCGAAAUCCCUCGACAACAUGAUAAUGUAAAUGAAUCUCAUCUCCAAUAUGAUUGAUCUCUGAUUAUGCUUCAGCUAUUGGAUAAAGAUAAUGAAAUUCGAACUCCUAACUA